rnacentral:tRNA from 1 species
AAACUUGCAUUUUGACGUAAAUCACUUCGAAGCGAUAAAGAAGGAAUUAAACCAAUAUAUGCAGGACU